AAAGGGUUUAUUAAAAACAAACAAACAACAACAACAACAAAAUGUUUAACCAAAAAUUGUAGAAAAGCUCAGUAUUUAAAUGAAACAUCUGAACAUAUUAUUUCCUAGGGUCAAAGUGUCCAGUAAACAGGACUCUUCUAUGUAGGAGGCUAUGUUUACAGUCACAUAGUCAUUCUGGGUUGAAAAAUGCAGAGUAAUUAUCUUGCUAAGUGUUAUAUAUCACUUAAGUGGUAGAGCUAAUGUUAUAAAUUAAAGUCCUGUGCACAGAAGCUUCAAAAAUACAGAUCAUAUGAUACCCAGUAAUUUCAUUUAGUUUGUGUAAUGGUUAAAUUCUAACAUGAGACUAAAACACCAUAAUCUCUGGAAAGAGAAAGAACUGAAUUAAAUAAAAGCUUGCAUAUAGGUGCAUCGAUGCUACUCAUUCAGCAUGUUCAAGAGAUUAAUUUAUAUGGGGCCUGAUGCAGUUGUGAACUAGCUUGUUUGUUUUCCUAGUGUUCUCUGUAUGCCUUAGUUCAAUUUUAAUGAGAGAUUUGGAGGAAAAUGCUCAUUUUUAAUGAUAUUUUUGGAACUUCAGAAAGAAUUCAUGAGGCUUCCUUGUAUGGUUUAUGAUUAAAUACCUCAGUAACACAUACAUUUUUCUUCUUCGGUAAGUUUAUGUAUUGUGUUUUAUAGCCAGUAUCUAAGACACCAUGAAACUUCCAUCACUUCUUGGAGCAGAAAUAACCCUGCUGAAACAAACCCAGGGGGUGAGGGUGACACUGAAGUUUUUUUAUCUGUAAAACUUUCAAAAUAUGUACAAAGCUAGAAUCUGCAGUGUAUUUAAUAAAGCCAGAUCACAGUCUCACAGUGAAUGGACACUUUUUGUUCGGUUAUGUUAAAUACUGUGUCUCAAUAUACAGAGAUAACCCGUAUAUGUUUAUUUGAGAGGCUAACAAUAGUUUAAGAAGCCCAUCAUGAAAUAAUGUAAUGCUAUGAGAAACAAGGGUGUUUCUGAUGCAACAUUAUACUUAGAUCUGCCUUACAAAAUAAGAGUUGCUCUCAUGUCUAGGGAAUAUUUAGAAAAAAAAAAAAAACAAAAAACCAAAAAAACAUUUUGCUAUGUGGAGUUUAAGCAGGAGUUUGGUAAUGUAGGUCACUAGUCAAGGCCUGUGGUAGCUGAGUAUAUCUAUUCCACCUCUGUGGGACCUUUCUUAUCCCCUCUCAAGGACAUGAAGUUUCUGGCCUUACUAAGGGGAAGAUGGUUUUGGCCACAUUUCUUCCAGUACAGGAAGAAAAGACAGUCACAUGUGAAAUUCCAAAUACUAUGGGCUUUCUCUCUGUCUGUUAUGCUAUGUACAGCCCAGGCUUUUUCU
rnacentral:lncRNA from 1 species